rnacentral:rRNA from 1 species
AACGCGAAGAACCUUACCAGCCCUUGACAUGUCUCGUAUGGUUACCGGAGAUGGUUUCCUUCAGUUCGGCUGGCGAGAACACAGGUGCUGCAUGGCUGUCGUCAGCUCGUGUCGUGAGAUGUUGGGUUAAGUCCCGCAACGAGCGCAACCCUCGCCCUUAGUUGCCAUCAUUUAGUUGGGCACUCUAGGGGGACUACCGGUGAUAAGCCGAGAGGAAGGUGGGGAUGACGUCAAGUCCUCAUGGCCCUUACGGGCUGGGCUACACACGUGCUACAAUGGCGGUGACAGUGGGAUGCGGAGGGGCAACCCCGAGCAAAUCUCCAAAAGCCGUCUCAGUUCAGAUUGCACUCUGCAACUCGAGUGCAUGAAGGCGGAAUCGCUAGUAAUCGUAGAUCAGAACGCUACGGUGAAUACGUUCCCGGGCCUUGUACACACCGCGUGUCU